rnacentral:rRNA from 1 species
AACGAACGCUGGCGGCGUGGAUAAGACAUGCAAGUCGAACGCGAUUGAGGAUGUAAAAGUCUUCAGUUGAGUGGCGAAAGGGUGCGUAACACGUGGGAAUUUACCGAGAUGUGGGGAAUAGCUUGGCGAAAGCCAAAUUAAUACCGCAUGUGAUCGAAAGAUCAAAGCUGGGGAUCGUAAGACCUGGCGCAUCUUGAGAAGCCCGCGGCCCAUCAGCUAGUUGGCGGGGUAACGGCCCACCAAGGCUAUGACGGGUAGCUGGUCUGAGAGGACGACCAGCCACACUGGAACUGAGACACGGUCCAGACACCUACGGGUGGCAGCAGUCGAGAAUUUUUCACAAUGGUCGCAAGACUGAUGGAGCGACGCCGCGUGGAGGAUGAAGGUUUUCGGAUUGUAAACUCCUGUCACUGCAGAACAAGGGUGCUUAGAUUAAUAAUUUAGGUAUUUGAUGGUAUGCGGAGAGGAAGGGACGGCUAACUCUGUGCCAGCAGCCGCGGUAAUACAGAGGUCCCGAGCGUUGUUCGGAUUCAUUGGGCGUAAAGGGUGUGUAGGAGGUCGGGUUAGUCAGGUGUGAAAUCUCGGAGCUUAACUCUGAAACUGCGCUUGAUACUGCU